ACGAUUAAUACAUCUUACUGUAAAUUAAUAUUGGGAACUCAAACAUACUUAACAACAGAUCAUAGAAGUCAAUGUUUAGUUUUGCACUAUAGAAGAAUGCUGUUGAACGGUUAAGAAGAUCAGAAUUUUGUAAUUUUCUAUAAUCGUGAUCUUUUUCCUCGCGCGUUGCUCUGGAUUUCAAGUGAGAGUAUUUUUCACAUUGCUUUAUUAAUGAAGACAGAAGUUAGAUGCUCACAUUUGGACGUGCCUUUGAAUCAAGUAAAACUGGGCCGCAGUAAAUCAUUAAACACACCAAGAACUGCUCACGGAAUGAAUUUACGACCAAAACGAACCUACAGUUUGCCAAAUAGAGAACGAGGAGGUUUACCCGUCGUUCAAAUAAAUACCUCCGAUCUUCAAGAUCAAUUUGAAGAAGAUUUUUACACAGAUAGAGAGCAGAAUAGAUAUCCGAACUACAGUGUGACGACUGGUGUAUAUUCCUCUGAGACUGACAAUCCAUUUGAACCUGUGUAUGGAGUAUUACUGAGUAUUUUUUUUUGGAUAUGGUCAAGGGUUUUGGAUUUGUAUAAUUUUUGAAAAAGUUGAUCAAAAAUAAACUUCGUACAUUGAGUUGAUGGGGUAUUGUAUAAUAUGUAGUAGCUUUGAUUUUGUACUUUACUGAAUUCUUUAAAUUUUGGCGAGUAAAAAACAAAGUUAAAUACAAGUAGCGAUAAUGUAAAUAAUCUAUGCAUAAAAUUGCUUUAUAUUAUAACGUUAUCAAUAAAAUGAAAUGGACAUAUACCACCUACUCUUUGACUGUAUUAUCGUCCUCAAAUACUGUACAAAUAAUGUUUCAAAUACCAAUCGAACUUCUUCAAUGAUGUGGUGUUUAUUUUGAAAAUAUUUACGAAUCAUUCAUACAUAUUUGUUAAUAAAAUAUUUAUUUCAUA